CAUAUAGAUUCUGAAAUCAUAUAUUUUGAUUACACAACAUUCAUAUAUGUAUCUGUUGCACCUUUUUAAUUGAAUCAAUUUAGGAAUUGAUGGAGAGCCAGACCUGAAUGAAAAUUAUGUAGGAGGUGAUGAUGAUUUCGCUAAACUGACUAACUGUAUAUUUCUUGUAAAGUAGAGGAUUGAUGUAAUAGUUUUGCAGAAAGUCAUUGCUCCCAGCACUGACAAGGUAAAUGGCACCAGAUAUAAUAGAUGAAGCAUUGGAUUUUCCAGCAACCUCAGCUACUUUGUUCUGAUACUCCUUGUAGUGUUCCAGCUGCUGAGUAAAGGAAAGUGCAUUCUACAACACCACAAGCCUAAACAUGUUAUUUUAAGGCAGUGCCCAAGAUAGAAAAACUGAAGUUUUUGAUUUAUUACAUAUAAUUCUGCAGUUGUGUCUAGGUAUCCAGAAGCAGCUGAGGCAAAGCUUGCUCCAAUCAGGAGGUCCUUUCCUCCUCCACCGAGAAUCUUCCCGUAGGCUUGUGAGUUAUAAAAUCUCUUCCGUAAGGGAGGAAGUUUGCUUUAAUGAGGGUUUUAAGAUGAUUAUUGAUCCCAACAUCGAGGACAGAGUCCCCGAAUGUGAACAAUGCUGGAACCAGGGGCUGACCAUUUGCCAGAGAGAUCACAGGAGCAAGGAGAAGAAAGAAAAUAGAUAAACAAGUAGUAUCCAUCAGUCACACCAAAUGAGUUUGUUUGAAAAAAUGAAAGUUGGGAACAUGCAGUUUUAAAGGGAGAUUUGGAAGUGAGGAUGGGUGAAAUAAUUGGUUUCAAAAGUUUAUAUGUUCAAGAAAUCUGAUAAUUUACAGCUUGAUAUGUAUUAAUUAUGUUCAUUAGGCCUCACAAGUUUUAGCUGACACUGAACCCCCAUCUAACAUGUAUCAGAUUGUGUAACCCAUAUAAGGGUUUUAAAUUUCCCAAACUUUCACCUCCGCAAAAUGUUUGAUGAGUUGAUUUCAGGCUUUCAGCCAAAUUUAAGUCUUAGAGUGUAAUAAAUAAGUGACAUUUAUCAGUA